AUUGAACGCUGGCGGCGUGCUUUACACAUGCAAGUCGAACGGUAACAGGCCGCAAGGUGCUGACGAGUGGCGAACGGGUGAGUAAUGCAUCGGAACGUGCCCAGUCGUGGGGGAUAACGCAGCGAAAGCUGCGCUAAUACCGCAUACGAGCUAUGGAUGAAAGCGGGGGACCGAAAUGCCUCGCGCGAUUGGAGCGUCCGAUGUCAGAUUAGGGAGUUGGUGGGGUAAAGGCUCACCAAGCCAACGAUCUGUAGCUGGUCUGAGAGGACGACCAGCCACACUGGGACUGAGACACGGCCCAGACUCCUACGGGAGGCAGCAGUGGGGAAUUUUGGACAAUGGGCGCAAGCCUGAUCCAGCAAUGCCGCGUGCAGGAAGAAGGCCUUCGGGUUGUAAACUGCUUUUGUACGGAACGAAAAGGCUCUGGUUAAUACCUGGGGCUCAUGACGGUACCGUAAGAAUAAGCACCGGCUAACUACGUGCCAGCCGCCGCAGUAAUAC
rnacentral:rRNA from 1 species